UACGUAGGGUCCGAGCGUUGUCCGGAAUUACUGGGCGUAAAGAGCUCGUAGGUGGUUUGUCGCGUUGUUCGUGAAAACUCACAGCUCAACUGUGGGCGUGCGGGCGAUACGGGCAGACUGGAGUACUGCAGGGGAGACUGGAAUUCCUGGUGUAGCGGUGGAAGUGCGCAGGAUAGUCAGGAGGAACACCGGUGGCGAAGGCGGGUCUCUGGGCGAGUAACGUGACGCUGAGGGGCGAAAGCGUGGGGAGCGAACAGG
rnacentral:rRNA from 1 species